UGGAGAGAUAGCGAAGUGGCUAAACGCGGCGGACUGUAAAUCCGCUCCUUCGGGUUCGGGGGUUCGAAUCCCUCUCUCUCCAU
rnacentral:tRNA from 3 species